AAUGAACGCUGGCGGCAUGCCUAACACAUGCAAGUCGAACGAAGGCUUCGGCCUUAGUGGCGCACGGGUGCGUAACGCGUGGGAAUCUGCCCCUUGGUUCGGAAUAACAGUUAGAAAUGACUGCUAAUACCGGAUGAUGACGUAAGUCCAAAGAUUUAUCGCCGAGGGAUGAGCCCGCGUAGGAUUAGCUAGUUGGUGUGGUAAGAGCGCACCAAGGCGACGAUCCUUAGCUGGUCUGAGAGGAUGAUCAGCCACACUGGGGCUGAGACACGGCUCAGACUCCUACGGAAGGCAGCAGUGGGGAAUAUUGGACAAUGGGCGAAAGCCUGAUCCAGCAAUGCCGCGUGAGUGAUGAAGGCCUUAGGGUUGUGAAGCUCUUUUACCCGGGAUGAUAAUGACAGUACCGGGAGAAUAAGCUCCGGCUAACUCCGUG
rnacentral:rRNA from 1 species